CUGUACAGUACGUACCUGUACAGUGACGACAACGCCUUAAUCUCAACGUGGCCGGCGGUUUCCUGGCGAAAAACUGAUGUAAGGAAAAUCUAAGCAACACAACAAAUGGCGCUGUAGGUGUGGGAAAACAAUCCGCCCCUGUCAUCUGUGUUGAUGCUCCAUGAAAGGAAUUGAACGGCCGUGCCAACGUCUCGCCACCAACGACUACCAGCCAACAGACGCCAGUGCUGCAUCGUUCCACGACCGCCAAACGGCCGAUGCCACCCAGAACACUUCUCCCCAGCUGCAGUCAGGUGGGAAUGGAUCAGGCUGUAUAUUUCUGCCAGUUCGUGUCUCCUUCACAGCAUCAGCAGCAUCUCUGGCCAACGACCCUGAGGAAAAGACAUUGGAGAGACGCAGACCAGAGGCAAACCGCUUUGCUGUACUUGCCAAAAUACUGGAGUAAAGCGUUAACCUGAGGAGGGCUUUGUGCAAGUAGAAACCUGGCUGUGUUCCAGAACUGUGUGUGGAUGACAGUGAAUCGUUCAAGGCUACAGUGGCCUGAUCUGUCCAAACAAUUCCUCUGCAGACAGGUUAAGUGACAUCGAUCUGGUAUUCAGGUCAUAUUUCAUCCCGUAGAACAAUAUUCUUAAUUAACAUAGAUCUGCUAUUAUGGAUUAAGCUAUGCUCUAAGAAAGAGGGGUGAAAAAGUGUGGAGACAAAAAACCCACCUGCCCCACAAGUCAAGGUCGCUACUCCUUGUUUGAUUCUCCUCGCCUUGUUAGUCUUAAUCAAAUUCCAUGUUUUAUAAUGAAAAUAAUGCAAAUUUUCAAUUUCAAUUCCGGUGAUCAAAUAGGCCUCCGCAGCAAUUGUCUUUUCAUUAAAGAAAUCACUGAUCAUUAAUGAAGUAUUUUCACUACUUUACAUAAAGUUACAAGCGGGGACGUGGAAAUGGGAAGCAGAUCAAACGGUCUGUCUCUAAUUGAAGUGCAGAGCACCCCCCCCCGCUCCUCCUCCCAGUCAGGCUCUGACGGAUAGUCGACUAAACUCCCGGCACCUUUCCUCACACCAUGGAACCAUUGCUUGCCACUCUCCCGCUCUUUAUUUGCCUCUCUCGCUUUCUCCUUCUCUCUCCGCUGUCUGU